UCCGUCCCUUUGCAGCAUCCGAUGCAUUACAUUACAUAACACAGAGCGAGCAUCCAGGCUGCUCCGCCUGCCCCACGUAAUGCGCUCGUCGAACGGCCUGGCGUCAUAACGCACAGCGCAUCGUGCCGGCAGAAUGGAGGGAGGAGAAGCCCGCUGAGGCGAAGCUGCAUCCUGUCAGCCUCCAUCAGUCAAGCUCACCCCUCCCAUCCUCCUCCUCCUCCUCCUCCUCCUCACAUCCUCACCCAUCCUCCUCCUCACAUCCUCACCCAUCCUCACCCACAGGCUCCAGCCAACCGACGCACAGCCGGAGCAGCCUGCAGCCACACAGGGGACAGACACAGUUGCACCUACAGCACCUGACGUUCAGGCUGGCGAGUCGCUUCACAGCAGCUCUUCCUCCUAUUCAGACCUGGACUUUAUAGGGGAAUGCAGCUUUGGCAAAAUCGUCGCGUCCAUGAAUCUCAGGACCAAACAGAACGUGGCUGUGAAAAUCCUGAAGAAGGACACAGAGUUGGCCCAGGACCCUGAGCAUGAGGUAUCCAUGUUGAAACUCAUCAGUGACCUGGAUUCGGAUCGCACCAACAUGGUCAAAUUCCAUGAACAAUUUCAGCACAUGGAACAGUGUUUGAAAGGCUGGAAAUGAAUCUCUAUGACCUGCUAGAGCAGCGAGAGUGGGAGCACCUUCCUCUACAUAAGAUCCGCCCAGCUGCCAAGCAGCUCUUGGUGGCCUUGGAUGCCCUGAAGGGUCUUGGCGUCCUGCACGCGGACAUCAAACUGGACAACGUUAUGUUCGUCAACAUGCAGGAUCAGCCACUCAGGGUGAAGCUGAUUGACUUUGGCUGCGCCAUGAUGGCGUCCCAAGUCGAGCAGGGGAUGGAGAUCCAGCCGUAUGGGUACAGGUGAGUUCAUCCUGCACAGGUUUUUCAUCUUUGGCUCAUGUCUUUCCUUCUCAGGGCUCCAGAAGUAUCACUUGGUCUUCCAAUCACAGAGGCCAUCGAUGUGUGGGGGGUUGGGGUUGUACUGGCGUUCCUGUACCUGGCUCAAAACCUUUUCCCCAUAGACUGUAAAUACCAAAUGAUGAAGUGCAUGGUUACAGUGCUGGGCCAGCCGCAGGACCACCUGCUCCCUGCUGGCAAGUGAAGCCAGCAGUUCUUCAUUGAACUCACCAGGUGAACUCUCCUGGUGAACUCUCCUGGUGAACUCUCCUGGUCUCUCCUGGUGUUCUGACCUGACAAUAGUGUCCACAGACACCACCUGGUCGUCAGUCUUCCAUCACACACGUGAAGUCUCCUGGAGUUCUGACGAGGCUGUAGACGUCACCGCUGCAGCCACAGCCUCCUCUGGCGGCAAGAGAAAGCUGCUGAGAAGAAUCUGAAAAUUCUUCUCAAGCCUCACAAGCUGCUUCCGUCCAAAAGUGGAGGACUGAAUUAUUUGUAUAUUUAUUUUUUUAUUGGUGUUUUUCUAUUUUAAUCUACAUUG